rnacentral:rRNA from 1 species
CCUACGGGAGGCAGCAGUGAGGAAUAUUGGUCAAUGGACGAGAGGCUGAACCAGCCAAGUAGCGUGAAGGAUGACGGCCCUAUGGGUUGUAAACUUCUUUUAUAGGGGAAUAAAAUGAUCCACGUGUGGGAAUUUGUAUGUACCAUAUGAAUAAGGAUCGGCUAACUCCGUGCCAGCAGCCGCGGUAAUACGGAGGAUGCGAGCGUUAUCCGGAUUUAUUGGGUUUAAAGGGAGCGUAGGUGGAUUGUUAAGUCAGUGGUGAAAGUUUGCGGCUCAACCGUAAAAUUGCAGUUGAAACUGGCAGUCUUGAGUACAGUAGAGGUAGGCGGAAUUCGUGGUGUAGCGGUGAAAUGCUUAGAUAUCACGAAGAACUCCGAUUGCGAAGGCAGCUCACUGGGCUGCAACUGACACUGAGGCACGAAAGUGUGGGUAUCAAACAGGAUUAGAUACCCUUGUAGUC